rnacentral:sRNA from 20 species
GUCCAGUUUGCGGCGGACCAAAGCCAAAAGCCUGUGAAGGCGAUUGCGACAGCCGGCCACAUGCGGGUUACGAGGCCCAUGAGGCCGGCUGU